rnacentral:lncRNA from 1 species
GUGCGUAUUGUUAUUCUUUACUUUUCUACAUUGGCUAGAGGUAUAGGGGGAGGGUUGAGAUCUCAUAAACAUGUUUAACCCCGCCGCAAUUUUGCGCCUGUCCCAAGUCAGGAGCCUCUGGCCUUUGUUAGUCUUGUAUGAUUUUAAAUUUUAGUUUCUUGUGUAUAAUUCGGAGUUUAGUAUGACGUCCAUUAUCACUGUACUAUUAUGCAUAUUUUAGGGACCAGCUGAAGGACACCUACGGGUGCGGGAAUUCUCGCUACAUUGAAGACCCAUUGGUUGCCUUCGGCUGUUGUUUGCUCU